UGCGGCUGGAUCACCUCCUUUCUAAAGGAGAUGUUGAGUAUCAUUGAAUUUAUU
rnacentral:misc_RNA from 1 species